ACCACACGAACGUUAUUCGGAAUCACUGGGCUUAAAGGGUGCGUAGGCGGCGCGGUAAGUCGGGUGUGAAAUCUUGGAGCUUAACUCCGAAACUGCAUUCGAUACUGCCGUGCUUGAGGACUGGAGAGGAGACUGGAAUUUACGGUGUAGCGGUGAAAUGCGUAGAUAUCGUAAGGAAGACCAGUGGCGAAGGCGGGUCUCUGGACAGUUCCUGACGCUGAGGCACGAAGGUCAGGGGAGCAAACGGG
rnacentral:rRNA from 1 species